UACGGGGGGGGCAAGCGUUGUUCGGAAUUACUGGGCGUAAAGGGCGCGUAGGCGGCCUGCUAAGUCGGACGUGAAAUCCCUCGGCUCAACCGAGGAACUGCGUCCGAUACUGGUGGGCUUGAAUCCGGGAGAGGGAUGUGGAAUUCCAGGUGUAGCGGUGAAAUGCGUAGAGAUUUGGAGGAACACCAGUGGCGAAGGCGACUUUCUGGUCUGUAACUGACGCUGAGGCGCGAAAGCGUGGGGAGCAAACAGG
rnacentral:rRNA from 1 species